GCAAACUUGGUCAUUUAGAGGAAGUAAAAGUCGUAACAAGGUCUCCGUUGGUGAACCAGCGGAGGGAUCAUUACAGAGUUCUUUGCAACUCCCAACCCUGUGAACCAUACCAAUUUUUUGUUCUCGUUGCUUCUGGCAGGCGGCCCCUCUCCCCUUUCGGGGGGCAGAGGGGCACGCAGGCUCCGGUGCCACGCCCGGGUGCCUGCCAGCAGCAGCUUGCCCAAACCUUCUUUUUUCUUUUUUACCUGACCGUCUGAGACGAUUUUUACAAAUCAAAUCAAAACUUUCAACAACGGAUCUCUUGGCUCUGGCAUCGAUGAAGAACGCAGC
rnacentral:misc_RNA from 1 species